UACGUAGGGACCAAGCGUUGUCCGGAAUCAUUGGGCGUAAAGAGCGUGUAGGCGGCUUGUUAAGUCUUGCGUGAAAUCUCGGGGCUCAACCCCGAGCGGUCGUGAGAAACUGGCAGGCUAGAGUACCGGAGAGGAAGGUGGAAUACCUGGUGUAGAGGUGAAAUUCGUAGAUAUCAGGUGGAACACCAGUGGCGAAGGCGGCCUUCUGGACGGUAACUGACGCUGAGACGCGAAAGCGUGGGGAGCAAACAGG
rnacentral:rRNA from 1 species